UCGUAGCCGAUGUUCCACAGCAAGGGG
rnacentral:sRNA from 1 species